CCCAGAGCUACCACAACUACUCUGAGAAAAGUGUCAAUAGCGCAAGAAUGGCUGAGACGACACCCCAAUUCGGGCAUUCGACUUCGACUCGUCGCUGCAUUGUAUUAAGGCGGGUGUUGUUGGGGUUCUAAGAAGAGGCGGGUCUCCAGAAGGGCUGCUCUGUUAUCACCCCCAGGGUCGGGACUCCAGUCCUGCUGGUGGUGUGCAGUGGUAUCUCAUGGUGGUUUGGAUUUGCAUUUCCCUGGUGGCCAGCAACACGGAGCAUCUUUUCAUGGGCGUGUUGGCCAUUUGCCAGUGCUGUUGUAAGCACAAACCUACCCAACUGCCAUGAAGACAAACAGGCUGGAAUGUUGGAGGAAGAGAUAUGAGGUGCCCCAGCCCAAGGCCAGCCAUGUCCUAGAGACAGAACUACCUUGACGUACAGCGGACUGCAGAUGCAUGCGUGAGCCCAGCCCAGACUAGAACCACCCAGCAGAGUCCAGCCCGAACCUCCUACCCCACACAGUUGUGAGCCAAUGUACGGCAUUCCAAUUUUUUUGGGAAUAAUUUAAAGUUUGUGAAAGCGUUGAAUAUCUCCAUUGCCCAGUUUCAAUUUCCUUUAACAUUAUCAUCUUACACUAUUGUGGUUACACGUUUCUUUGUCAAAACGAAUAAACCAACAUUGGUGUGUUAUGGAACUAACCUGCUGGUAUUAUUUGGAAUAAUGCCCUUGUUCUAUUUCAGGAUCCAAUCCAA